ensembl:misc_RNA Metazoa_SRP Metazoan signal recognition particle RNA
GCUGGGCGCGGUGGCUCACGCCUGUAAUCCCAGCACUUUGGGAGGCUGAGGCGGGUGGAUCACCUGAGGUCAGGAGUUCAAGACCAGCCUGGCCAACAUGGUGAAACUCCGCCUCUA